UACGGAGGGUGCAAGCGUUGUUCGGAAUCACUGGGCGUAAAGGGCGUGUAGGCGGUCCGCUAAGUCUGAUGUGAAAGCCCGAGGCUUACCCUCGGAAGUGCAUUGGAGACUGGCGGACUGGAGUCCCGGAGAGGAGGGUGGAAUUCCUGGUGUAGCAGUGAAAUGCGUAGAUAUGUGGAGGAACACCGAUGGCGAAGGCAGCCCCCUGGGUUAACACUGACGCUCAUGCACGAAAGCGUGGGGAGCAAACAGG
rnacentral:rRNA from 1 species